rnacentral:rRNA from 1 species
GCUUACGGCCAUACCACCUUAGGCACGCCCGAUCUCGUCUGAUAACGGAAGCUAAGCAGGGUCGGGGCUGGUUAGUACUUGGAUGGGUGACCGCCUGGGAAUACCAGGUGCUGUAAGCA